rnacentral:rRNA from 1 species
UACGUAGGGCGCAAGCGUUAUCCGGAAUUAUUGGGCGUAAAGAGCUCGUAGGCGGUCUGUCACGUCGGCUGUGAAAUCCCCAGCUUAACCUGGGAACUGCGUCGGAUACUGGUUGGCUUGAAUUCGGGAGAGGGAUGCAGAAUUCCAGGUGUAGCGGUGAAAUGCGUAGAUAUCUGGAGGAAUACCGGUGGCGAAGGCGGCAUCCUGGGUCAAGAUUGACGCUCAUGCACGAAAGCGUGGGGAGCAAACAGG